UGCCCCUUAAAUAGGGACUCGUAUCAACGGCAUCACGAGGGUUAUACUGUCUCCCCCAUCUAAUCAGUGAAACUGACCUCCCCGUGAAGAGGCGGGGAUACAACUACAAGACGAGAAGACCCCAUGGAGCUUUAAACCCAAUGACAACCCCACUUAAAUACUUCCACAUAAAUGUAAAGCAAUGUACAUUGGUUUUAGGUUGGGGUGACCACGGAGCAAAACUAAACCUCCAUGACGAAUGGAAAUUCAUCCUAAUCCACGAGCUGCCACUCUAAGAAUCAAAAAUUUGACGUAAUCUGAUCCGGCAACCGAUCAACGAACCAAGUUACCCUGGGGAUAACAGCGCAAUCCAUUUCAAGAGCCCCUAUCGACAAAUGGGUUUACGACCUCGAUGUUGGAUCAGGGUAUCCCAGUGGUGCAGCCGCUACUAAAGGUUUGUUUGUUCAACAAUUAAAAC
rnacentral:rRNA from 1 species